rnacentral:rRNA from 1 species
UACGAAGGGGGCUAGCGUUGUUCGGAAUUACUGGGCGUAAAGCGCGCGUAGGCGGUGAUCUUUGUCAGAGGUGAAAUCCCGAGGCUCAACUUCGGAAUUGCCUUUGAAACGGGAUCGCUUGAGUCCGAGAGAGGAUGGCGGAAUUCCUAGUGUAGAGGUGAAAUUCGUAGAUAUUCGCAAGAACACCAGUGGCGAAGGCGGCUCACUGGCCCGGUACUGACGCUGAGGUGCGAAAGCGUGGGGAGCAAACAGG